GACGAACGCUGGCGGCGUGCCUAACACAUGCAAGUCGAACGGAAAGGCCCUGCUUUUGUGGGGUGCUCGAGUGGCGAACGGGUGAGUAACACGUGAGUAACCUGCCCUUGACUUUGGGAUAACUUCAGGAAACUGGGGCUAAUACCGGAUAGGAGCUCCUGCUGCAUGGUGGGGGUUGGAAAGUUUCGGCGGUUGGGGAUGGACUCGCGGCUUAUCAGCUUGUUGGUGGGGUAGUGGCUUACCAAGGCUUUGACGGGUAGCCGGCCUGAGAGGGUGACCGGCCACAUUGGGACUGAGAUACGGCCCAGACUCCUACGGGAGGCAGCAGUGGGGAAUAUUGCACAAUGGGCGGAAGCCUGAUGCAGCAACGCCGCGUGCGGGAUGACGGCCUUCGGGUUGUAAACCGCUUUCGCCUGUGACGAAGCGUGAGUGACGGUAAUGGGUAAAGAAGCACCGGCUAACUACGUGCCAGCAGCCGCGGUGAUACGUAGGGUGCGAGCGUUGUCCGGAUUUAUUGGGCGUAAAGGGCUCGUAGGUGGUUGAUCGCGUCGGAAGUGUAAUCUUGGGGCUUAACCCUGAGCGUGCUUUCGAUACGGGUUGACUUGAGGAAGGUAGGGGAGAAUGGAAUUCCUGGUGGAGCGGUGGAAUGCGCAGAUAUCAGGAGGAACACCAGUGGCGAAGGCGGUUCUCUGGGCCUUUCCUGACGCUGAGGAGCGAAAGCGUGGGGAGCGAACAGGCUUAGAUACCCUGGUAGUCCACGCUGUAAACGGUGGGUACUAGGCGUGGGGUCCAUUCCACGGGUUCCGUGCCGUAGCUAACGCUUUAAGUACCCCGCCUGGGGAGUACGGCCGCAAGGCUAAAACUCAAAGGAAUUGACGGGGCCCCGCACAAGCGGCGGAGCAUGCGGAUUAAUUCGAUGCAACGCGUAGAACCUUACCUGGGUUUGACAUGGAUCGGGAGUGCUCAGAGAUGGGUGUGCCUCUUUUGGGGUCGGUUCACAGGUGGUGCAUGGCUGUCGUCAGCUCGUGUCGUGAGAUGUUGGGUUAAGUCCCGCAACGAGCGCAACCCUUGUUCACUGUUGCCAGCACGUUAUGGUGGGGACUCAGUGGAGACCGCCGGGGUCAACUCGGAGGAAGGUGGGGAUGACGUCAAGUCAUCAUGCCCCUUAUGUCCAGGGCUUCACGCAUGCUACAAUGGCUGGUACAGAGAGUGGCGAGCCUGUGAGGGUGAGCGAAUCUCGGAAAGCCGGUCUCAGUUCGGAUUGGGGUCUGCAACUCGACCUCAUGAAGUCGGAGUCGCUAGUAAUCGCAGAUCAGCAACGCUGCGGUGAAUACGUUCCCGGGGCU
rnacentral:rRNA from 1 species